UGGGGAAUAUUGGACAAUGGGCGAAAGCCUGAUCCAGCCAUGCCGCGUGUGUGAAGAAGGUCUUCGGAUUGUAAAGCACUUUAAGUUGGGAGGAAGGGCAGUAAGCGAAUACCUUGCUGUUUUGACGUUACCGACAGAAUAAGCACCGGCUAACUCUGUGCCAGCAGCCGCGGUAAUACAGAGGGUGCAAGCGUUAAUCGGAAUUACUGGGCGUAAAGCGCGCGUAGGUGGUUCGUUAAGUUGAAUGUGAAAGCCCCGGGCUCAACCUGGGAACUGCAUCCAAAACUGGCGAGCUAGAGUAGGGCAGAGGGUGGUGGAAUUGCCUGUGUAGCGGUGAAAUGCGUAGAUAUAGGAAGGAACACCAGUGGCGAAGGCGACCACCUGGGCUCAUACUGACACUGAGGUGCGAAAGCGUGGGGAGCAAACAGG
rnacentral:rRNA from 1 species